rnacentral:lncRNA from 1 species
UGCUAUAAAGUCUUCCAUCCCUUACAUUGCUUUUGAUCAGAGUUUGCUUCGAGGGAAAAUACACGUAUUGUGACUAAAAGAGCUCUCAGAAUCAUCACCACCACCUCUAUGUAUACCACUGUUAACACAAUCAUAGAACAAGAUUAUAAGGAGAUACAUGAGAAAUCCCUUCUCACACACAGAAUGGAAUCUGAUACAUCUAGAAGAACAGGGUUUUCCUAAAGUGCUCAAAGACAGAUGGGAAGAAAAAUCCUG